GGAACUGAGACACGGUCCAGACUCCUACGGGAGGCAGCAGUGGGGAAUAUUGGACAAUGGGCGAAAGCCUGAUCCAGCCAUGCCGCGUGUGUGAAGAAGGUCUUCGGAUUGUAAAGCACUUUAAGUUGGGAGGAAGGGCAGUAAGUUAAUACCUUGCUGUUUUGACGUUACCGACAGAAUAAGCACCGGCUAACUUCGUGCCAGCAGCCGCGGUAAUACGAAGGGUGCAAGCGUUAAUCGGAAUUACUGGGCGUAAAGCGCGCGUAGGUGGUUCGUUAAGUUGGAUGUGAAAGCCCCGGGCUCAACCUGGGAACUGCAUCCAAAACUGGCGAGCUAGAGUAUGGCAGAGGGUGGUGGAAUUUCCUGUGUAGCGGUGAAAUGCGUAGAUAUAGGAAGGAACACCAGUGGCGAAGGCGACCACCUGGGCUAAUACUGACACUGAGGUGCGAAAGCGUGGGGAGCA
rnacentral:rRNA from 1 species